rnacentral:misc_RNA from 1 species
GAUGAAGAACGUAGCGAAAUGCGAUAAGUAGUGCGAAUUGCAGAAUUCAGUGAAUCAUCGAAUCUUUGAACGCACAUUGCGCCCCUUGGUAUUCCAUGGGGCAUGCCUGUUCGAGCGUCAUUUGUACCUUCAAGCUUUGCUUGGUGUUGGGUGUUUGUCUCGCCUUUGCGUGUAGACUCGCCUUAAAAUAAUUGGCAGCCGGCGUAUUGAUUUCGGAGCGCAGUACAUCUCGCGCUUUGCACUCAUAACGACAGCGUCCAAAAGUACAUUUUACACUCUUGACCUCGGAUCAGGUAGGGAUACCCGCUGAACUUAAGCAUAUCAAUAAGCGGAGGA